rnacentral:rRNA from 1 species
UGGGGAAUUUUGGACAAUGGGCGCAAGCCUGAUCCAGCCAUGCCGCGCGCGGGAUGAAGGCCUUCGGGUUGUAAACUGCUCUUGUACGGAACGCAAAGACUCCUUCUAAUAAAGGGGGUCCAUGACGGUACCGUAAGAAUAAGCACCGGCUAACUACGUGCCAGCAGCCGCGGUAAUACGUAGGGUGCGAGCGUUAAUCGGAAUUACUGGGCGUAAAGCGUGCGCAGGCGGCUAUAUAAGACAGAUGUGAAAUCCCCGGGCUCGACCUGGGACCUGCAUUUGUGACUGUAUAGCUAGAGUACGGUAGAGGGGGGUGGAAUGCCGCGUGUAGCAGUGAAAUGCAUAGAUAUGCGGAGGAACACCGAUGGCGAAGGCAGUCCCCUGGACCUGUACUGACGCUCAUGCACGAAAGCGUGGGGAGCGAACA